rnacentral:lncRNA from 1 species
AAUAAUGUUGACAGUAUAAAGAAGAAUGAUAUAUGAUAUUUUGUAUAUAUCAGAAGGAAUAUGCUUGUCAAAUUUCUAAGGUCUAGGCCUUACAAAAAAUCAUUGGCCAAAAUAACUAAAUUAGAGAAUGAUUUGGAAAAAUAAGAGAAAGAAUAGAAGGUGGAUAGAGUAAGAAUAGUUAGAAUAAAAGAAUGGUAAAAAUAUAAGAGAAAUAAAAAAAAGUAAAAAAAAGAAAUCAUAUCUUCAAAUGCAUUAUCC